rnacentral:pre_miRNA from 1 species
AUUCUACUCCCUCCGUUGCACAAUACAUGCCUUCUAUUUGUCAAAAUAUAUAUGUAUCUAGACAUGUCUUAGUAUAUAGGUACAUCCAUUUUUGGACAAAUGGAAGUCAAGUAUUUUGGAACGGAGAGAGUACACA